UGGGGAAUAUUGGACAAUGGGCGAAAGCCUGAUCCAGCCAUGCCGCGUGUGUGCAGAAGGUCUUCGGAUUGUAAAGCACUUUAAGUUGGGAGGAAGGGCAGUAAGCGAAUACCUUGCUGUUUUGACGUUACAGACAGAAUAAGCACCGGCUAACUCUGUGCCAGCAGCCGCGGUAAUACAGAGGGUGCAAGCGUUAAUCGGAAUUACUGGGCGUAAAGCGCGCGUAGGUGGUUCGUUAAGUUGAAUGUGAAAGCCCCGGGCUCAACCUGGGAACUGCAUCCAAAACUGGCGAGCUAGAGUAGGGCAGAGGGUGGUGGAAUUUCCUGUGUAGCGGUGAAAUGCGUAGAUAUAGGAAGGAACACCAGUGGCGAAGGCGACCACCUGGGCUCAUACUGACACUGAGGUGCGAAAGCGUGGGGAGCAAACAGG
rnacentral:rRNA from 1 species